UCUCUCUCUCUCGUCACUCUCUCCCUCAACAUACAACGCUGCACCGCCGGCGACAUCAUGUUUAACUCCGGCGACGGCAACAUCAUUCUCAGCCUUAAUCAGAUUUCUACUUUUACAAAUUAAAGAAACACACCAUCAUUCUUCAUAGCACUAAAGAAACACACGAAUUCUUCACAGACUUAUACUUUUACAAAUUAAAGAAACAAGAUUGAGGCAAUUUCUUUACAAAUGCUUGCUCCAAGGCACAAGAUUUGAUGGAAAGAGUAUUCUACAGAAUGAAGGAGAAUUUAUGCAGACCAAAUUGAAGAAGUGUUUAUAAAUUCUCCAACAACCAACAGAGAAUUUAUGUCCUAGCCGAAGAAGAUGAAGUGGGAGGGCAGCGACACAGCGGCCGUGGAGGUGGGAGAAGGGCGAAGGCGGCGCAUGGGUGGAGGCGAGAGGGCGAAGGAGCUCGAAGGGUGGAGGUGGGAGAGCGCCGAAUGUGGCGCUCAGAUUCAGGUGGGAGGGCGGCGGGUGCAUUGAGGCUCUUCUACGGUGCCGAUUAGGGCUCCGUCGACCUCUCAUGGGCUUUCAACCACAGCGAUUUUACAGAUCUCCCCUCCCUUGGCUUAGAUCUGGGCACGGUAGCGCAACGGAGAAGAUGAAGCAAGAGGGGUGACGACGGCGCGACGGCACGGCGUAGGCCAUGUCCGUGUGUGUCAGAGAGAGAUAGAGAAGAUAGAACAGAAGCGUCGGCCGUGGUGUUGAGGCGGCGGCCGUGAGGAUGGAGGAGAGGCGGCGGCCGUGAGUUUCAGGCAAAGAGAGAGAGUCCAGAGGGUGGGUAGGAGAGAGGGGUUUAGAGAGAGAGAGAGAGCUAUGAAAGAGAUGUGAGUGUUAAUUAGGAGAGAGAUGGAAUGCUAAACAUUUUUUAAUUAUUACCAAAAAAAGAAAUGGGACAAGAUUAUUGAGACAACCCAAAAAGGAAAGUGGGACAAGAUUAUUGGG
rnacentral:lncRNA from 1 species